CUAACUAUAUUUUUAGGGAUCAUUUCUAUAGUUUUUUUACUUGAGAAAUGUGUUCUAAAAAGGUUGUUCUCACUAACCAUGUGGAGGACAUAUAGCAUUUCCUUCUGAGUGUGAAGUGGUUAUAAGUAUUGCUUUUUGCAAGAGCAUUUAGCCAUUGAUGAUUGAAAAAAAAGAACCUUCACCAGGUUCCAUGUUUUCAUGAUUGGA